rnacentral:lncRNA from 1 species
UAAAAAACAACAGCAGAGGGUCACCAACAGGUCUUCAAUGUAGCGAGAAAUUCCCGCACCCGGAGGCGUCCUUCAGCUGGACCCUAAACAAAUAUAUACUAGUCCAGUGAUAAUGAACGCCAUACUAAUUUCCAAAUUGUACACAAGAAACUAAAAUUAAAAUAAUACAAGACUAACAAAGGCCAGAGGCUCCUGACUUGGGACAGGCGCAAAAAUGCGGCGGGGUUAAACAUGUUUGUGAGAUCUCAUCCCUCCCCCUAUACCUCUAACCAAUGUAGAAAAGUAAACGCAUAGCAAUACGCACAUUAAAAUUCAGUUCAAGAGAAGUCCGAGUCUGAUGUCAGAAGAUGUAACCAAAGAAAAUAAACAAAAUGACAAUAAUACAUAAAUAACAACAGACUACUAGCAGUUAACUGACAUGCCAGCUCCAGACUUCAAUUAAACUGACUGAAAGAUUAUGAUUUCAUCAUAUGAACAUCAGGCACAAUCCUUCCCGUUAGGGUUUAGUAUCAUACCAUCAUAACAUAUAUGAGAAGAACAUAACCC